UGAAAAAGGAUUGACCUCUUCCAUUUUUCCUUCUUAAAGCUAGAACCCAGAAGUGACUUAAAUGACGUGAAGAUUGAAGAGUUCUGAAGAAGACUGGAUGAAGAAACUAGAUCCAGACAAGUAAAGUGAUCCAGAUAAUAUCUGAGGCAGGAUUUGAACCCCUAUCUUCUGCUUUAAGAGUUCAAGAGAUCUUUCCACCAGAUCAACAUGAUGAUUCAUUCCUUCAAAUUGUUAUCAACCCUCAAUGAGUCAAAUCUUCUGAGGAUUCAGCUGUCAAUCUAUUCUCCCCAUUAGGCAAGAUUAUACAUGAAUUGACAGAAUAUUGAGGUGGGAGAGACGGAAGAAUAGAACACCUAUGGAAGGAGAAAUCACUAUCACUUUACUGUGCACAGAGGGAAUAAUAGUGGCCCACACUGUCUCAUAAUCACAGAUGUGUCAACUACACAUGGGAAUUUGAAAGACAGAGAAGCUAAAUUUGUCUUAUUUUGUUUAAGGAUAAUUUUUGACCUCAGUUCUAUAGCCAAUCCAGUGGUCUUCACUUAGAGCAAUGUACAUCUGUGUAACUUGGACCAAUGCACCAUAUUACAUUGAAAUUCAUUAAAGAUGACAAAAAACUUUUUGGCUACC